GAGACUCUGUGCGCGUGCAUAUCAAUAAGCGGAGGAAAAGAAACUAACAAGGAUUCCCCUAGUAACGGCGAGUGAAGCGGGAAGAGCUCAAAUUUGAAAUCUUAAAGGGUUUCCCUUUACGAAUUGUAGUUUAAAGAAGUGUUUUCUGUUGGAGUUUCGGUAAAAGUUCUUUGGAAUAGGACAUCAUAGAGGGUGAGAAUCCCGUAUUUGACCGUUACUUUCCAGCUGUGUGAUACACUUUCAAAGAGUCCGGAUUGUUUGGGAAUGCAGUCCAAGAUGGGUGGUAAAUUUCAUCUAAAGCUAAAUAUUGGCGAGAGACCGAUAGCGAACAAGUACCGUGAGGGAAAGAUGAAAAGAACUUUGAAAAGAGAGUUAAACAGUACGUGAAAUUGUCAAAAGGGAAGCGUUUGACACCAGUGUUGUUUAGUUCGAAAAUCAAUUACGAAUAGUUUUUGAUUUUAAGUAGUUAUGACUUCAUCAGCUUGCUGCCUUUCUUUACAGAAACUUUCUUGAAUGCACUAUUCAGUUAACAAGUCAACAUCAAUUUCUUUUGUUGUAAAAGGGUAUGAGGAAGGUGGCUUGCGCUUUCGGAUAAAGUGUUUAUAGCCUUUUAUCCUCUGCAAUCGGAGAGAUUGAGGUCUGCAGCGUAGAUCCUUCGGGGUUAGAUACAUUUGGUGCUAAGUUAUAGCUUUUCAUAGACAACUUGUUGACUAUGUUUAGUCUUGUAGGCUUACUCGCUUAUGCUAUUUUACCUACGCUUAGGAUGUUGACAGCAGUAUAGACUGU
rnacentral:rRNA from 1 species